UCGCGCCGCUCCUUCUCUUCCUUCCGCCCCGUCUCUCUCUCUCCCUCCAAACCCUAACCCGCGCGCCUUCCUGCACUGUCGCCGGCCACCACCGCCGCUCGCCCGGGCACCCAUCCACGACCUCAUGCCGCCCCUCUCCUCUUCCUCCCGCCUCACCACUCUCUCUCCUCCCAAACCCUAGACCGCCUCCCUGCCCCGUCCCCUUGGCCGAGGAGGAUCUGGCGCUCGAGGAGGACGAAGAGAUGGCCGCCUCCGGGGAGCAGCAGAAGGAGGAGGGGCACGUGGCGGCGGCGACCAAGAGGUGCAUGGCGCGGGGACCAAGAAGACCAGGAAAAUGGCUACCGGUGAUAAGGAGCCCGAGUUCCUCGACGAGCCGUCCUCGCCGACGAGGCCUACGCCAAGUGGCCGCAACGCUAGCAACGUGGCUUGCCCAUGAGGUGUCCCGCGGUCGAAGUAGGGUGCGUCAGCAGGUGGGCUGCAGCCGCCUUCCAAACAUCUGAAGCUGGUAUAUUGCAUCCUUUGCGGUAUUGAUGGUAAGAAGCACCUAUACCAGUAGUACAACACUCAAAUAUUUUUUUAGAGGAUAUAGGGGCUUGAAACUUUGCCCAUAAAUUCAAAAGAAAUGUGUAGACAAGUAUUUUUGUAAGGAAUGCAUAUCCAUGAUGUGUGAUUUAUAGAGUCGAGAACUGAAGCACAACUCAUUGGUGGAUUAGGGGGGCACUAGGCAGUAAAUUGCCGGAUUUUCUAUCUUAUAUUUAUACUCUGCAACCUGUUGUUAUGUCUCCAAAUGUAUUGUUUGAGAAUAAACAACUUAGCAAUAAUAUGCAAAAACAUUAAGAUUUUGACAUAUUAGGAUGUGAUAACUUAUUCUUCCUUUUGUGUAGAAGAAUUUAAAAAUAUAUGGCUUACAAAAACUCCAAACCUCUACUAUGUAUUGCUUACGAGUGACAUUGAAUUAAUAUCUGAGCAAGGACUACUGUACUAUGUAUAGAAUUCUAUUAGUUUUGUCCCCAUGGGGUUUUGCCUUUCAGUUCGAUGCAAUUAGAAGAUUUUGUGUCUUUUGAUCACCAUGACUAUGAGAUUCAUGCCACGUAGCUUGAACCAACUGAUGUUUGCUUAACUGUUUUUAUGUCAACUGUGAUGAAUCCAUUGUUGGGUGAUUUCCAGACCGAGGUAUGGCCGCAUGGGUGUUUACAUUCAUGUGUUUAAAGCACAAGACAAUGGGUUGUCAACCCACCAAGUUACAGUCUAGGCCAAGGUGUUAAUUCCCAUCCUACCCAAGGGAACUAUGAGUAUUGUUUUAUCUGUUUUAUAUCGUGCUCCGCAUGGUUACCUAGAAAAUAUAACAAUACAUCAGCUGUUUCUGCUGAAACAAGUUCCUAAUGUUUGGAAAUUUCUUACUUUCUCUUGGAUGUUCAUAUUUUAUACAAACAUAUUUUUUGCUGUUUGUGUAUAUGAUAUGUCUAGAAACUUCAAAACUUCUACGCAAUCUGACAGUGAUCCUUUAUGUUGUAGGAUCUUGAAUGUACUGUUAGGAUCAGAUUGGUCAAGUUUUCCAGUUUAUUAUUCUUAUCAGAUUUCUGUUGUAUGUAUCUCUGCUCUCUACUCAGCUUUGUUUCCAAUAAGUAGUAGUUAGUAUACCAUUUUUUUCUUCUGAUUUUGCAUAGUGGUAAUUAUGUAUGAUUCUCAAUACAUGCAUUAGUCUUCCUCUAGAUUUGCUCCUCUUUACCUGCAUGAUAUUCUUUUUUAAAGGUUUUACAUUCAUUAUGUAAAGAAAAAGGUAUAGGCUGGAUAAUGUUUGUAAAUUAUAUAUCCUAAUGUGAUGGAUAGAUUCCCUCCGACCAGGUUCAUCACCUUCGUGUUUUGUCUCUUCAUUUUUUAUAUAGUUAUUUUUCAGUUUUCAGCAAUGACUAAUUGCCAUUCUUGCUUCUAUGCUCAACUCCUUUGGGAGAGUGUCUUCCCUCCAAGGAUAGAAAAACAAUACUAUGAUGUUUGUGCCAAUUUAUUUCGCGUCUUCAGGUGAUCCGUUCUUCUAACGAGAAUUUCAUGAUUUUUCUCUCUAUUUUCUAAAGAAUUUGUAGUGGUUUACUUAGUGGGAAUCGUGUUUUCCACUGGCUUCAGUGUGGUUUUACAGUGGAAAGAUUAAUCAGAAAUGCACUUUUCUUAUGAUCCCAAUCUAAUUGUGGUAUGCUUCUCUUGCUAACGACUCCUGGCUCACAUGGAGUGACAUUUGGAUCCUAUAUGAUAUCUCCUCAGAAAUGGUGUCAUCAACACACCAACCAAUGCGUCCGCACCGAGGAUAUAUAUUUGCUAUGCAUUGUUUGAAGCACUGCAGCACAUAAGUAUCUUUCUAUGUAAUAUUAUAUAAGCAUUCUUCUGAUGACUAAUAAAGCAUUUUUGGAUAUACACCAGAGUAUAUUAAAAUCGAUUGUUUUAGAAAUUCGGUUGGUAGACCCUACAUUUGGCUGAUUACUAGCUAACUAGAUUACUCAUGUCUGCGGAUGUUCCUCGAUUAAAAAACAUACAUGCGAAGAACUAUGGUAACUUGCCUACCAUUAACUGCAUGAAAUUUUUGUCUUGCUGCAGUAAACAUUACCAAACUAUUUCUAAAGGUGUUAUAAUCAUGUUUUCUUUUGCAUAUAUCAACCUUUAACUGUUGUCGUUUGUUAACACGAUUAUUUAGCAUAUUCAGUUAUGCGGGUAGUAAUAACAGGAGCUACUCAUUUGCCGGAUGACUAACACUAUUCAUAAGGGUUAGGAAAAGAACUGUAUUCUUGCUGUGAUGAUGUUCGUAUGAUACGCUCCAUGGAUUCUUCAUUUAACACAUAAUGUCCAUCAACAGGUGUUUACACCAUAGGGAGGAGCCAGGCGACAAGGCAGUCAGACCUAACUCUCUCUAUCCAUAUACAUGUAGUCCGAUGUUAUGCCAUGGACGACUGACAUACACGGCGUCAUCUAUAACUGCCUCCAUUGCUUCAUCGGUCUCCAUGUCAGCCUCCCUGCUUCAGUACUAUUAGGUACCUUUCCCUCCAUGAAGUCUUAUGAAGCCAAGCAGCUUGAUUUUCUUUUGUAGGUUCAAGCAGCUUGAUUUUUUUGUAGGUUCAAGCAGCUUGAUUUUCUGACAGGUUGUUUGUAAACAGGAGGAUUUGAAGUUUCUCUUCCUCUAAUGGGUAGAUUUUGCAUGUUAUCUCAUUUAAUUUGUAAUGAUUCAGUGCACGACCUUACAGAGUGAUAUCUUAUAUUCUGUUUGCAUUAGCACAGUUGGAA